rnacentral:lncRNA from 1 species
GGGGGGACGGCACUCUUCACAUCUCCCCCCGCCCUGCUUCCCUGAUCGCCCUCCCCACCCACUGACUCCCCAGUCCCUCAUCCCCAGGUUUCCAUUUACUGACUUCCCAGGAGCUCCUGAAAGCCAGCCCUGGGGAGCAGCAGGAUAAGGGGGGUCUCCUGCUCACCUUGUUGUCCAAGUCGAAGAGGUAAGAAUCAUCCUCUCUCACAUCAGCCUCAGCAUCAGAGAUCAGCUCCCCGACAUACCUGUGGGACAGGAAUCCAUGGUUCUGAAGGAGCCACCCGGCAGGAAUGGGCGAUAUGGGACAGAAGAGGGGCCAGGACUGCAGGAAGAGCCAGAGGUACAGGAGCGGCAAGGAACUCAAGGCAUGAGUCAGGGCAAGAGCACCCAUAUCUGGACACCAGAGGGAGGAGAGGAGCCGGCUAUCUAAGGAGGGUGUCAAGGUGCUCCUGGUGACUUACUCGCAGAUGAAGGUCCCCUGUGGGAUGGUCUGCAGGGCGCGGACCCCCCAGCCCAUUUUGGCUGUUCGGUAGAGCUGUAGUCGCACCCUGGGAGUAGGAGAGAGGGCACUGUUGGGUGGAGGCCCUGGAAAAGCCCCAGGGGCAGGGAGGAAAGGGUGAGGUGGGGAGAGGGUGGGCUGUGGAGCAGGGCCUCACUUGAUACCACUCUGUACGACCCGGUUCUUGCAGUUUCUCCAGCAGGAGCACGCCUGGUUACACUCGAAAAUCAGCGGGGGCUCAAUCUUGUUAAAUUCCUGGAGCAAUCGCCCAUCCUAGGGUGCGGAGGGGAACACAGUGGUUUCACCUUGGGGGCCACCUCAGCUGCCUGCCCAGGAACCCCAAGACUCUACAGAAAAAUCCACUGCUGAACCCAACCCAGAGACAGAGAAGAUGGGGUUGGGGAGGUCACACAGGCUCUGAGAUCCAAGAGCAGGAAAUGCAGGAGCAUCAUCCCUGAUUUGCAUAGACCUGGGCACACACCCAUCGCCAUCCCAGCCAUGUCCCAGGAUUCCCAGGCCUUGCCCCGUCCUCUCAGUCACUUCCCCCACAGGGUAGGUGAAGGACAAGGUCCCAGGGAGCUGGCCUGUUGGAGGCUGGCUCCUCUGAAGGAGGGGCCGGGUGUCUGUGGCCAAGGCAAGGGGCACGCACCUUGUCAUACCAGCACCGGAUGCUGAGCUGGCCGCACAGGCAGUUGGAGCUGGAGCAGUCGUCCACACACGUGCAGUGCUGGGGCGAGGAGGCAGGGGUCAGCUCAACCCCACGAUAGGUCUGGGUUCCUCCACUCUCGGUGCCCCGACCCCCUAACCACUGUCCUCUCUUUGGGGUCCAUGUGUUACAACAGUGGGUGGCGAUGGUCCGAGGGUGAUGGGGAAUCAGUAUGUUGCUCAUGGUGAUGUCCCCACGGCUACUGGGAGUUCAUAUGACACCUUUCUGUGACCCAGGAAAAGGUUCCCUCCCCUGGGGUGGAUGCGACCCCACACCAGGGCUCCCUUUCAGCCAACCCUUCCUAGGCCAGGUGCCUUUGUUGGUUUGAAGCUUGUCUAACUGUACUUGGCAGCUCUCGGUGUCCUUUUGGGGAGGCCCCGGCCCCGUACUCACCUGCAGGUGGGUGAUGUUGCGGUCAAUGUUCAUGGUGGACGUCUCACAGUUCUCCGAGAUAUACUUGUAAUCCUCGGGGCAGGACUCCCCGUCCACGCCAUUGACACAGGGAAUGGGCACGUUCUCAUAGCCCCGAGCCACGUCCCUGCAGAAGACGGGGAGAAGGUGAUGGCAGGCUGGAACGGGGUGAGGAGCUACUCCAGGUACAGGGAGACAGUUGGGGAGGUUCCUGGGGCUGGGGGAAGGGGAGUAAGGUUGGCAGGUAAGAUGCAGGACAGCCAGUUAACGUGGAAUUUUUGAUAAACAAGAAAUAGCUUUUUAGUACACUAUGUCCCAAAAAUUACACAGGACAUUCUCGCACUAAAAAAGUAUGCAUCUGUGCAUCUAAAAUUCCAGUUUAA